rnacentral:misc_RNA from 1 species
GAUUGCUUACUGUUUUGUUUGGUAUUUUCAUAACAAAAGCAGGAUUGAAAAUGUAGUUGGACUCGGAUAUUUUAAAUUUUAUUCAGUUGUUGUCUACUGUGCUUAUAGACUUGAGCUAUAUAUACUUAGAAACAACCCCGGAAUGGGAGAGAAAAGCAUGCACAUAGGUUGUUUGACCUCUUUCCAUUAGAAGUAAGGUAGUUCACUAAACAAUUUUAUACAGUCCGUUAGAUGCAGUUGACAUUUAACUAAUGAUUUGGCUCUCAGAUAUAUUCAUUUCUGAGCUUUGUCAAAACCCUAUAGAUAAAAAUAUAUGUUCUUUUAACUAAAAUUCCAUUGGAUAUUUCCUGUUACAUGCAUGUUUAUGUCAACUCUACAUUUGUAGAAAUGACAUUAACUCUCAUUUUCAGGAGUACCCUCCUGGUGUUAUA